rnacentral:rRNA from 1 species
AUGACGCAACUUGAAGGUUUUAUCGAUCCAAAGGGAACUAACAAAGUGUGCAGGCUCCAGCGAUCCAUCUAUAGACUGGUGCAAGCAUCUCGGAGUUGGAAUAAACGUUUUGAUAGUGUGAUCAAAGCAUAUGGUUUUAUACAGACUUUUGGAGAAGCCUGUGUUUACAAGAAAGUGAGUGGGAGCUCUGUAGCAUUUCUAAUAUUAUAUGUGGAGGACAUAUUGUUGAUUGGUAAUGAUAUAGAAUUUUUGGGUAGCAUAAAGGGAUACUUGAAUAAGAGUUUUUCAAUGAAAGACCUCGGUGAAGCUGCUUAUAUAUUGGGAAUCAAGAUCUAUAGAGAUUGA